CAAUAGCGUAUAUUUAAGUUGCUGCAGUUAAAAAGCUCGUAGUUGGAUUUCGGGUGGGAAUGGCCGGUCCGCCGUUUCGGUGUGCACUUGCUACGCCCACCUUGCUGCCGGGGACGUGCUCUUGAGUUCACUCUCGGGACACGGAGUCGGCGAGGUUACUUUGAGUAAAUUAGAGUGUUCAAAGCAGGCCUACGCUCUGAAUACAUUAGCAUGGAAUAACACGAUAGGACUCUGGCCUAUCUUGUUGGUCUGUAGGACCGGAGUAAUGAUUAAGAGGGACAGUCGGGGGCAUUCGUAUUUCAUUGUCAGAGGUGAAAUUCUUGGAUUUAUGAAAGACGAACUACUGCGAAAGCAUUUGCCAAGGAUGUUUUCAUUAA
rnacentral:rRNA from 1 species